UGUUGGCCCGUCCGCCGAGGGCUACACUCGUGCUACAAUGGGUAUUAGAGAGGGCUGCGAAGGUGCGAGCUGGAGCGAAACUCAAAAAGGUUCUCUUAGUCCGGAUUGCAGUCUGCAACUCGACUGGAUGAAGUCGGAAUCGCUAGUGAUCGCAGGUCAGAAUACUGCGGUGUCUACGUUCCCGGGUCUGGUACAGUCCGCCCGUCACACCAGGGGAGUGGGUUGCUCCGGAAGUCGGGGGC
rnacentral:rRNA from 1 species